GCGCGGGAGGGUCCCUCCCUUCCCACGCUCGCCGGCUCGGACUUUCGCCUGCUCCCAGAUCAAUGGGGCUGGGGCGAUGCUGGGGGGAUCGGGGGGAGGGGAGGCCGGGAGGGAGGGGGAAUGGGAGGGCAUUGGAGGCAGACGGUGCCUAGUCCCCCCCCCUCCGCCCUCCUCUCUUCUCUCCCCUCCUUCCCCCCCUCCCAGGGAACAAUGCCCCGGCUGCAGCCUGCCCCUGCCCCUGCCCCUGCCCCUGCCCCUGCCCCACCGGAGUCAAGAAGCCCUUUGCAAACCAUGCAACCGUGCACGGAAACAAAGGGGCUCCGGACACUUCGGCUCCUGGCCUGGGAAUCAGACGGAUCCCGGCGUCCACGGCAGGCGGCUGGGAGCCCCCCGGUUCUCCGACACCCCCUGCCCCGGCUCCCGGAGAAGAAAGCAGAACCACCCGGCACGGACAGGGCCGGAUCCGGUCCAGCUCCGGGGGAGGAGACCUCGCCAGGCCCAUCUGGCUGCUUCGGGACAGCCCCCAGGGCUGGCUCUUGGGGCUGGGAGAAGGCGGCAUGAGGGGGCAUGAGGAGGAGUUGCCAGCAGAUGGAGGGCAGUGAUUCUUCCCCUCUCUUGGGCACUGGGGAGGCCACAUCUGGAGUCCUGUGUCCAGCUGUGGGCCCUCACUAUAGAAAGGUGUGGACACAUUGGAGAGUUGGGAACGAAAAUAGCUGGGGGGACAUGAAUGGUGAGGAGAGGAGAGGCUAAGGGAACAGGGCUGAUUGAGUCUGCAGAAGAGAAGACCGAGGGGGAUUGAAUAGCAGCCUUCACCUCCCUGCAGGUGGGGUGCAAAGGGCUGGGCUAUUCUCAGUGGUGGCAGUUGACAGAAGGAGCAAUGGGCUCAAGCUGCAGCAAGGGAAGUUGAGCUUAGAGAUGAGGAAAAACUCUCACGAGGAGGGUGGUGAAGCACUGGAAUGGGCUACCCAGGGAGGUGGUGGUGUCUCCAUCCUUGGGGGUUUUUUAAGACAAAGCCUUGGCUGCGAUGAUGUAGCUGGGGCUGGUGCUGCUUGGAGCAGGGGGUUGCACUAGAUGUGACCGCCUGAGCUCCCUUCCAUAGAAGAGAAUUCAUAGAAGGAAUUCAUAGAAGGAAUUCUAUGAAUAAGCCACGGGAAUCCCGUCCCUAUUGCUUGCCAACCAGCCAAAUGGACUCUAAAAAUGUAUAUAUAUAAAUAAAAAGUCCUGAAAUGCAACCUUCA